rnacentral:rRNA from 1 species
GAUGAACGAGGGAGGGGGGAGGAAUACAGGCAAGUCGAGCGAACAGACGAGGAGCUUGCUCCUGUGACGUUAGCGGCGGACGGGUGAGUAACACGUGGGUAACCUACCUAUAAGACUGGGAUAACUUCGGGAAACCGGAGCUAAUACCGGAUAAUAUUUCGAACCGCAUGGUUCGAUAGUGAACGAUGGCUUUGCUAUCACUUAUAGAUGGACCUGCGCCGUAUUAGCUAGUUGGUAAGGUAACGGCUUACCAAGGCAACGAUACGUAGCCGACCUGAGAGGGUGAUCGGCCACACUGGAACUGAGACACGGUCCAGACUCCUACGGGAGGCAGCAGUAGGGAAUCUUCCGCAAUGGGCGAAAGCCUGACGGAGCAACGCCGCGUGAGUGAUGAAGGUCUUCGGAUCGUAAAACUCUGUUAUUAGGGAAGAACAAACGUGUAAGUAACUGUGCACGUCUUGACGGUACCUAAUCAGAAAGCCACGGCUAACUACGUG